UACUAUUAUAAGGAAUAGUACUGUAGAAAAAAUAGUGCCCAUGGUAUUUUGGUAAUUUUUGUUUCAUUUGUGGGUUUUUUGCAAGAAGAAAAAUAUCUGUUUUAUCUUAAUUAUCUCCCCUGCAGAUUUUUAUUUUUCACUUUCUAUGUUUACAGUUUCGCAACAAAAAAAAGAAAGAGAUUUCCUGUCGAAUCUUUGCCCAGUGAAAGUGCAAAAUCUGAUCAUAAUCUAACAAAAAAUCAAACUAGACGAAUCCAUUACACCAACAAAACAAGGAGUCACAUGCUCGUUCAUUGACAUUCACUUCUUCAAGAGUAGUGAGUAUUGUCUGGCGCUUGAGUAAGUCUCCACAACAUGGAUUUUCUCUCUUAUGUGUUCAAAUCCUUGUAAAUUAAAAUGUAUUAGUUUUGAGGCUCAAUGUUAAAAAGUAUAUAUAAAUAACUUGAGCUUGCCUAUGAAACAUCAUUUUUUCCAACACACCCACAUAUUAUGUACUAAUGCACCAUCAUAAAUAUAGAACUAUAGUUCUUGAGAAUUAAAUGUAUACUAUCAAGACCUUCAUCAUUAAAUAAGGAGUACGAUAGCUGAUUCCUAUUAGGUGACUUGCGAUCAUGUAUUUUGUUUGGUUUUUUGUUUUCUUAUGAUCUCCAACAUUUUUUUACUUUCUAAUUUUGUGUUUUUUCUCCCUUUGUGUUUCUACUCCAAGAAAGCUAUUCCGCCUCUCCAAAUUCAACGGUGUGCUUGCUUUUGUUCUAUUUUUUAUUUGUGUUGUGAUCUUUCUCUUCAUGUGUUUUGGCUCUUUCAUUAUAUUUAAAAGUCAUGUCGCAAUGUUUCUUCGUUAUUGUUAUUGUUUUGAAAUUUAGAGAAUGAGGUUCAUUAUUCUAGGGCUAGGAGCAGAUUGGGUUAUUGCCUUUAGCCUGUAGGUUUUUUAAGGAUUCGUUGCUUUGUGUUAUACGAAAUUAUUAUUUUCGGUUUCUGGUUUUCGACGGGCACCCUCAGGGUCCACUUGUCUUUGCUCCCAUUGAUUUCUUUGCUGGAACACUUUCAUUCGUUUAUUGCAGCUUCGGUGAGUCGCUGCCCUACUUUGAUCUCAUAAUAGUAUUUUCGAGUAUCAUUUUCUUUUCAUAUGUUAUUAUAUCACUAGCUAAAUUACUGACUUUUUAUGUGUCAGGACUUUGACCGCGUUUUUCAGAUAUUUUAUGAUGGUAAAAAGAUGUGUGCUUUCAACGGAAGAUAAGACUUUGAAAAACAGAAAGAGGCGUGUUCUCAUUGUUGACACCGGUGGGAGUGUUCCAAUCUCAC